AUUGAACGCUGGCGGCAUGCUUUACACAUGCAAGUCGAACGGUAACAGGCCGCUAGGUGCUGCCGAGUGGCGCACGGGGGAGUAAUGCAUCGGAACGUGCCCAGUCGUGGGGGAUAACUACUCGCAAGAGUAGCUAAUACACCAUACGAGCUAUGGAUGAAAGCGGGGGACCGUAAGGCCUCGCGCGCUUGGAGCGGCCGAUGUCAGAUUAGGUAGUUGGUGGGGGAAAGGCUCACCAAGCCAACGAUCUGUAGCUGGUCUGAGAGGACGACCAGCCACACUGGGACUGAGACACGGCCCAGACUCCUACGGGAGGCAGCAGUGGGGAAUUUUGGACAAUGGGCGCAAGCCUGAUCCAGCAAUGCCGCGUGCAGGAAGAAGGCCUUCGGGUUGUAAACUGCUUUUGUAGGGAACGAAACGGCUCUGGUUAAUACCCCGGGCUAAUGACGGUACCGGCAGAAUAAGCACCGGCUAACUACGUG
rnacentral:rRNA from 1 species